CCAAAGGGGAGGAAAGUCUCUUUGAAAGCAUUUCUCCUAGCCUGCUCAGAGAAGAUGCUCAUUUUCAGUCUUUCAGGACUAUUUUUAAUAGAAUUUUUAAGAAACAGGAAAAAAUAUAGACAAGAUUAUACAGAGAGGGGAAGAAUGAGAAGAGAAGAGAAGGAUAAUAAGAAUUCUGAGGAACAUCAACAUUUAAAACGGAAAUGAAGAAAAGCCUGCGAAGAAGACUGCAAAGGUAGGCCAAGACCUAAAGGUGGUUCUGGAAUUAUUUGAUAUUGGGUGGCAGUAGGCAGGUUCAACAGAAGCCAAAGCUUAAAAGGAAGCAUUCUAGUGUUUCUACUUUUGCUCAUCUGUGAUUGCUGCAUGAACAUGUCCAAGCUAUCCCACUGGAGGAUGAGGAACACAUGGCCCAGUGAUUCUGCCCCACUCAACAGCCUAUCAACUGCCAGACUCAUUUGAAGCCAGAAGAACCUCCCAGCUGAGUCCGUCCUAAUUCAGUCAACCCUGGCAACUAUCAGGCAUACUAAUGGGUCCAACCAAGACCAGAAGAACUUCCUAGACAGGCCAACCUACACUGCCGUCCUGAGACCAUGGCCUUAGUAAAUACUCAUUGCUUUCAGCCACUGUGUUUCUGGGUGCUUUGUUACACAGUAUUAUUGUGGUAAUAGAUAAAUGAUACAAGUGCUAAAAUAACUG
rnacentral:lncRNA from 1 species